CAAGGCCGAAAUGCAUAGUCUUAUAAAUAAGGAUUCAGAAUGUGGUCGCGGAUCCACUCCGGUUUUGUUUCCUUUCACUUCCUUCCACGCCCCCCAAGUAGUACUUCUUUUCCCGACUAGGGCCUUGUGCGUAAACCACCUUCGCCUUUCUUCUCGAUCUGGCCGGGAUGGCAGUUGUUGAUCGGGAUUGAGUUGGGUCAAUCGAUCUAUACUGAUCGCUUGGUUAGUUAGAAAUAAGGCAUUAUGGGAGGCCGAGUAGGAAUUCGGUAGAGUAUCGUGGGAAGGCCCCGGAGGGAAGUCACUUGCUCAACUAUCAGAACAGAAGGAGAGGUUCUGAAAGAAAGGCCCUUGGGAGAGUCUUUCUGUUUGAGUUCUUGUUGAUACCCGAUUUGGUCAGAACAAGCUAAACAUCUAUUUCCAACUCUUCCUCAGAUCAAAAUCCUCGCUAAAAGCUUACGGAAGCACGUAUUUUUCUCUCAUUUAUAACCUAUAGAUUACAAAGAAUGACCCCAUCAGACAUACCAAACGAUGGAUUUCCGUACCGACCCCUAGCUAUACAAUCAAUUGCAAUUCGAUGAAUUGAUGAGAAAACAAAGAGGAGAGUUGAAAACUUU
rnacentral:lncRNA from 1 species